AGAAUCUGAAGAGGGUGAAGAGAGAGAUAGAGGGACGGAGAGAGAGAGAGAGAGAGAGAGAGAGAGAGAGAGAGAGAGAGAGAGAGAGAGAGAGAGAGAGAGAGAGAGAGAAAGAGAGAGGGAGUGCUCGUGUGUGAGUGAAUGUGUGUGUGUGAGUGCAUGCUUUAAUAUGUUUAUACUCCAACGGAGUGGACCGUGACAGUGCUCUCUCUUCCUGGUGGGAUGGGAGGACCCAGGGAGAUGACUAAGGGGAGCAGGGCAGAGGAAGGACAACGUCUCUAGGCUCUGUAGGCACAGCACUGAAGGGACGAACACACACACACACACACACACAGCACACACACCUCCCUGCGUCCAGCUCCCACUCUCCCCUGACGCGGUCCGGGCCGCUGGUGGGGGUGAUCCUGGCACAGUGAUCCAGACGGGGAGAUUUACAAGAGAAAGAGACGGCCAGAGACAGCCCUCACCAGGGGGGAACACAAUGGAGAUGAAAACCGUGGCAGCUGGUCUCCGAGGUCAUGAAGCGUGUUCUCUGCUCCCGUGGGUAUAACCUGACCUCCACCCCCAAGACCACCACCCCCACCUCCCCACCACCCCACCACCCCCAGUAC
ensembl:lncRNA